GAAAGCACUUCCCCCUCUCUAUUGCACUGACCUUUAAGGGUAGCGCUCCGUGCCCCGGGGCAGGUCUCUUUAUAUGGGAGUGAAGGAAAACCCCCUCAGACUUGGAGGUUCACACUUGAGAGACCUGGACAGUGAACAAAGGCCAGCGUAAGGCAGUUGUUUUAGCUGCCGGAAAAGAUCUCCCAGCGUUCGUGAUGCUUCUACAUGGAAUGGAAGAGCGGGAAUUUAGCACACCAGAGAGAGACGAGAGCCAGUUUGAGAUCUUAGCAAGGAACAGGUUUCGGUUCAAUGGGGAUAGGCCCAUCCUCCUUGCCUCCAAGUCAGCUGUGAGGUCACGUGUCCUCCCAAGACCAUUCUGUCUUGGGGAUCAGAGUCUCCUAGGCCUGACUCAGCCUGGACCCUUGCCCCCGGAGAUUGUCAUUGGCCAGAAAACAGCUUCCGCGGUGGAGGGGGUCGUCUUCCGGGGACCGGGAUUCAUCCGAUUCCUUUGACUCAGUGACAGAUGCUAUGGACUGAGAUCCAGUGGGGAAACCGAUAAGAGAAACAGGGUUAAAAAUAAGGUGGGAGGGGCUUGGAAGAGCUAGAGUCCCUGGUCUGACCUUUACCCUCCAAAUAUCUGACUGGCAGCCCCAGACAUGAAAUAAAAUCAGGCCAUUCCGAGUA